CCUACGGGAGGCUGCAGUGGGGAAUAUUGGACAAUGGGGGCAACCCUGAUCCAGCCAUGCCGCGUGUGUGAAGAAGGCCCUCGGGUUGUAAAGCACUUUCAGUGAGGAAGAACGCCUGGUGGUUAAUACCCAUCAGGAAAGACAUCACUCACAGAAGAAGCACCGGCUAACUCCGUGCCAGCAGCCGCGGUAAUACGGAGGGUGCGAGCGUUAAUCGGAAUUACUGGGCGUAAAGCGCGCGUAGGUGGCUUGAUAAGCCGGUUGUGAAAGCCCCGGGCUCAACCUGGGAACGGCAUCCGGAACUGUCAAGCUAGAGGGCAGGAGAGGAAGGUAGAAUUCCCGGUGUAGCGGUGAAAUGCGUAGAGAUCGGGAGGAAUACCAGUGGCGAAGGCGGCCUUCUGGACUGACACUGACACUGAGGUGCGAAAGCGUGGGUAGCAAACAGGAUUAGAUACCCUAGUAGUC
rnacentral:rRNA from 1 species